GCCGUGUCCUCCGGCAAUACUUCCUCGCUCCUAUGAACUGUAAAGGAGGACUUGCCCUUCUUCCCGAAUCCUAGCCGCCGUUUUCGUCCUUCGUCGCCCACGCAUGUACCACCAACAGACGCACGUGGCAGAGUCUGGUGUUCUCUCGCUACACGCAAGAAGUAAGUCGUCGUUUUCAUUAUGAUACGGCCCGGCCUCGAGAAUUCGAUCUGGAUCGUUUCUGAAAGGAGGAUCCAGCCGGAAGGAAGGGGGUCGACGAGGUCUCGUUCGUCGUGCAAACUCGCUGCAAAUAAGGAAGGUGACAUUUCUAACGCUGACCGCUUCUGCACUUUUAACACCAAAGCCAAACCAUCGGUGGCGGUAAUCGUGGCCGUCCCGACGACGACGACGACAAAGCUCGUGUUUCGAAAUCUCUUCGCUUAGGAAAUAAAUGGACUGCCUUGAAGACGCGAUAAAUCACAGCGGCGCGGAUCCAAUUUUCCGCGAACGCCGGGAACUGGAACUGCGUGAAAUCGCUGGAAUCUUCGAUAACGCGCGAACGAGACCUUCUUCCGCCAUUAACCGCC